rnacentral:rRNA from 1 species
GUAGGGAAUAUUGGGCAAUGGUCGGAAGACUGACCCAGCCAUGCCGCGUGCAGGAAGACGGCCCUCUGGGUUGUAAACUGCUUUUAUCUGGGAAGAAAAGGCCAUGCGUGGCAAAUUGCCGGUACCAGAUGAAUAAGCACCGGCUAACUCCGUGCCAGCAGCCGCGGUAAUACGGAGGGUGCGAGCGUUGUCCGGAUUUAUUGGGUUUAAAGGGUGCGUAGGCGGCUGAUUAAGUCAGCGGUGAAAGACUUCGGCUUAACCGGAGCAGUGCCGUUGAUACUGGUUGGCUUGAGUGUCGGAGGGGUACAUGGAAUUGAUGGUGUAGCGGUGAAAUGCAUAGAUACCAUCAGGAACACCGAUAGCGAAGGCAUUGUACUGGCCGACAACUGACGCUGAUGCACGAAAGUGUGGGGAUCGAACAGGAUUAGAAACCCCUGUAGUCC